rnacentral:rRNA from 1 species
CCCUUAGAUGUUCUGGGCUGCACGCGUGCUACAAUGGCGUUUCCAGCAAGUCUGCGAACCCGAGAGGGCCAGCGGAUCUUCGAAUUGGCGUCGUGAUCGGGACAGUCGAUUGCAAUUAUUUGACUCAAACGAGGAAUUCCUUGUAAUCGCGAUUCAUCAUAUCGCGCUGAAUACGUCCCUGCUCUUUGUACACACCGCCCGUCGCUCCUACCGAUUGAGCGAUCCGGUAAAUGUUUUGGAUUGGUGCCGGGGCGGCUAGCUGCCGGUCGCUACGAAAUUUUGUGAACCUUAUCGCUUAGAGGAAGGAAAAGUCGUAACA